rnacentral:tRNA from 1 species
GCGCGAGAGGUCGUCGGCGACCGCGAGGGCGGGCUCAUGCCCCGUCGGCAGGCCCAGUGACUCCGGGUUCCAGCCUGCGUCGCGCA